rnacentral:rRNA from 1 species
ACCUAACCUAGCGGCGGACGGGUGAGUAAUGCUUAGGAAUCUGCCAUUUAGUGGGGGACAACAUUCCGAAAGGAAUGCUAAUACCGCAUACGUCCUACGGGAGAAAGCAGGGGAUCUUCGGACCUUGCGCUAAAUGAUGAGCCUAAGUCGGAUUAGCUAGUUGGUGGGGUAAAGGCCUACCAAGGCGACGAUCUGUAGCGGGUCUGAGAGGAUGAUCCGCCACACUGGGACUGAGACACGGCCCAGACUCCUACGGGAGGCAGCAGUGGGGAAUAUUGGACAAUGGGCGAAAGCCUGAUCCAGCCAUGCCGCGUGUGUGAAGAAGGCCUUUUGGUUGUAAAGCACUUUAAGCGAGGAGGAGGCUACCUAGAUUAAUACUCUAGGAUAGUGGACGUUACUCGCAGAAUAAGCACCGGCUAACUCUGUGCCAGCAGCCGCGGUAAUACAGAGGGUGCGAGCGUUAAUCGGAUUUACUGGGCGUAAAGCGUGCGUAGGCGGCUUUUUAAGUCGGAUGUGAAAUCCCCGAGCUUAACUUGGGAAUUGCAUUCGAUACUGGGAAGCUAGAGUAUGGGAGAGGAUGGUAGAAUUCCAGGUGUAGCGGUGAAAUGCGUAGAGAUCUGGAGGAAUACCGAUGGCGAAGGCAGCCAUCUGGCCUAAUACUGACGCUGAGGUACGAAAGCAUGGGGAGCAAACAGGAUUAGAUACCCUGGUAGUCCAUGCCGUAAACGAUGUCUACUAGCCGUUGGGGCCUUUGAGGCUUUAGUGGCGCAGCUAACGCGAUAAGUAGACCGCCUGGGGAGUACGGUCGCAAGACUAAAACUCAAAUGAAUUGACGGGGGCC